UAGGGAAUCANUCGGCAAUGGGGGCAACCCUGACCGAGCAACGCCGCGUGAGUGAAGAAGGUUUUCGGAUCGUAAAGCUCUGUUGUAAGUCAAGAACGAGUGUGAGAGUGGAAAGUUCACACUGUGACGGUAGCUUACCAGAAAGGGACGGCUAACUACGUGCCAGCAGCCGCGGUAAUACGUAGGUCCNGAGCGUUGUCCGGAUUUAUUGGGCGUAAAGCGAGCGCAGGCGGUUUGAUAAGUCUGAAGUUAAAGGCUGUGGCUCAACCAUAGUUCGCUUUGGAAACUGUCAAACUUGAGUGCAGAAGGGGAGAGUGGAAUUCCAUGUGUAGCGGUGAAAUGCGUAGAUAUAUGGAGGAACACCGGUGGCGAAAGCGGCUCUCUGGUCUGUAACUGACGCUGAGGCUCGAAAGCGUGGGGAGCGAACAGGAUUAGAUACCCUGGUAGUCCACGCCGUAAACGAUGAGUGCUAGGUGUUGGAUCCUUUCCGGGAUUCAGUGCCGCAGCUAACGCAUUAAGCACUCCGCCUGGGGAGUACGACCGCAAGGUU
rnacentral:rRNA from 1 species